UGACAUUUGAUAUCUAAGAGGGACCUCAGUCCAGUCCUCCUGGCCAGCAUCUGCAGUGUGACAGACCCGCACUGAGCAGUGGGAGAUGUGCCCAUGUGAGAGGUUUUUAUUCUGCUGCAGAGGAUAUAGUGAGCUAUGUAUGGGGAAGGCUGCUGAGGAUACAGUUUUCUUCUCUCUGGUAUCUGGAUCAUGUUUGGUGCAGUGUAAGAAAAUGCCCUAAGGACAUUGGAUCUCAGCACUGAAUCCAAGCCUUUAGAAACAGGAUGCAUAAGGCAGGACAUGCUGCCAAGGUCACAUGCUGCAUGCUUCUGUUGCCUUCAUCCUUGGAGGAAAUGCUGGGGCCACCAGGAAGAUCCAUGCUGCUGUCACAUUUCAGGGACACACCAGGAGGAGAAGAGCCAGGACACUUGCUCUUGGUCUUGCCCAGGUGGAUAAGUGCCUCCCAGUCUGCUGUGUCCACAGCUGAACAGGUGCAGUUCCUACACAGGCCUUGGCUCCAGCUGAGAAAACCGUCCAGAAAGGAUCCAGGGCGAGUGGAAU
rnacentral:lncRNA from 12 species